rnacentral:rRNA from 1 species
AAGCGGAGGAAAAGAAACCAACAGGGAUUGCCCCAGUAGCGGCGAGUGAAGCGGCAAGAGCUCAGAUUUGAAAUCGUGUUUCGGCACGAGUUGUAGAGUGUAGGCGGGAGUCUCUGUGGAGCGCGGUGUCCAAGUCCCUUGGAACAGGGUGCCUGAGAGGGUGAGAGCCCCGUAGGGUGCUGCGCGAAGCUUUUGAGGCCCUGCUGACGAGUCGAGUUGUUUGGGAAUGCAGCUCCAAGCGGGUGGUAAAUUCCAUCUAAGGCUAAAUAUUGGCGAGAGACCGAUAGCGAACAAGUACUGUGAAGGAAAGAUGAAAAGCACUUUGAAAAGAGAGUGAAACAGCACGUGAAAUUGUUGAAAGGGAAGGGUAUUGGGCUCGACAUGGGGGGUGCGCACCGCUGUCUCUUGUAGGCGGCGCUCUGGGCGCCCUCUGGGCCAGCAUCGGUUCCUGCUGCGGGAGAAGGGGCUCCGGAAAGUGGCUCUUCGGAGUGUUAUAGCCGGGGCCAGAUGCCGCGUGUGGGGACCGAGGACUGCGGCUUCUGUCUCGGAUGCUG